rnacentral:tRNA from 1 species
GGCCUCGUAGCUCAGCUGGUAGAGUGUGCGCUGUAUUAAAGCGUACGCGGUGUCCAGGUGUGCGUUCGAAUCCCACCGAGGCUA